UCGUGAUAGCACCCACACUCACGAGACCUUCUCUUCUUGCGUGAUACCUUGCCCGCGUCUGUCCUCUGCCCAUUCCGGCUUCUCUCACGCCUCGAAGCGACUUACAAGUAUAUUCACACCACGCCUCGUUCCUGCGGUGAUGUCAGCAUACGACACGGAAGCGGUGGCGGCCAUUCCGGUAGCCGUACUACCGCCUGGCAUCCGCCACGCCACCCUUUCCAUGGAGGCACACGAACAGAACCACCUGGCUAUUGGCAUGGGCGGCGAGAAGUACUUAGUAGUGCAUCCAACGUACUCGCUGGCGCCGCACUUGUACAGCCGCCGCAUGCUUGGUGCAGUGCUGCUGGUGCUGCUGGAGGUGGCCGUUUUCCUUUUCACGCUUCUAGGCUUGUGCACGCCAUGCAUCACUGUGCACAAACGGAAAUACUUCGCCUUGCUGGGCGGCCACGGCGGGUCCAUGACGGACCCGCCCGGGCGAAACCUGUCACUGAUUGCGUGUUCGGUGUUGAUCAUCGUACUCUUCGUCUUUUCGUUCAUCUUCUCUGUUGUCGUGGCGUGCUGCGUGCGAUGUGACCAGCGCGCGCGCGUGAGCGAAGAGUUGUUCAACCGGGAACUGCUGGAGCUGUACGGCGCGCAGGUGCACGAUGAUGGGCGCGUGUACAGCGCUGGUGGUGAGCCGAGCGCUUUGAAAGACGAGGGCAUGUGGGGCCCGUGCUGUGGGUUCGAGGCGAACGAGCGGUCACGACGGUCGAGAAACACCGGAAUCUCGUGCUUGCAGUGCAUCGUGGUAACCGCCAGCCUGAUCCUGGAGGGCGCCGCCGUGUACAACAUGAAGUGGAUGCACAGAACUGCCGUGGCGAGCGGUGAGACCGCCACAUAUGAGAAGGGCUUCUCCGUCACCGUCUUCGCGUUGGUGUUGAGAUUAUUUCAGCUUCUCUUUUACUGCUACAUGGCAUUCCAUAUGCUGUACAUCGGCUCCCAUCGAAGCAUGCCGCGCUGCCAGCUCAUCCAUACGUCCAGUACCCGCGCAGCCGGUGUUCUUUCGACCCAUGGCGAAGCCGCCAGCUCUGGUGACCAGCUUGCAAAGAUCGACUCGGAGAGCGGUUAUCCAUCCAAGCCGCGGCACAGCGCUGCUGACAGGGAAGGCGAUCGCGAGAUGGAGCUCAUUCCAAACUCGCGCACCACGUUGCAUUCGUGUCCGUGAGGGGUGCUCUGCUUUCCGCGUCGUCUUCGGUGCAAGCGAUGGCGCAGCGGCAGAGGACGAACAGGAUAAGGGUAGGCGCGUUCCCGCCGCUUCUCUACUUUGGGGUGGAAGGGCAGAGCGGGGGUGGCGGUUGUUGUCUAUCACACCAUCGACACACGCAUGCACGCGGUGUGUCGCGUACAGCGUGAUCGUAGCGAAAGGAAUCGGAGAGGUUGCUUGCGUGGUGCUCUCUCGGCUCGCUCGCCCGUUUCUCUUGCUCUCGUUAUUUUGCCGCCCUCCACGGGCUCUUGAUGCUGCCGGCCACCUCGGUCUGUGGCAUCACAGGGCCCAGUACCGACUCUUUCUGGGGAAGUCAAGCAGCCUGCACAGCCUGCCCUCGGGGGUACGGACUGGCGGACCCGUGGUGUCGGCGGGCAGGUCGUUGCUGGCGCCGCGCCGAAGAGACGUGUGACCAUGGUGAUCACGUUUGUGCCGGCUCACCGCGCAUUUUGUCAACUUUUUCAACAAACAUACGAAAUAGAAAAAAAAGUAGCAGCCCGGUAUGCAGGCAGCGGCGCACACGGUCGCAGAGAGCCGUGGCCUGAGGCUGGCCAACCUCCUCCUUGAGCCCAUCCGGCGUGCACGUAGACCAGCCCCUACUAGCAGCACGACGUACGCCCCCGCCUCCGCCCUCGAGCAGGACGCUGCACGCGGCCCAGGUGGGCUAAGGCGUGCAGCGCAGCCAGGCCCGUGUGGGGCCGAUUGCGCUGCAGGUAUGCGAAGAAGGGAGGGGGAAAGACAGGAAGAGUCCGCUGGACGCAUGGGCCCGAUUCGACGGCCGGAUGGCUCUUCCUAGACGCCGAGGAUGUAGCUCGCAGUGCGGCAGAGGCUGGCGGGCUGUGGCUGUGCAUGCGUGUGCUUGCGGACUUGCUCGUGGGUGGAAUAGGGGUACGCUGAAAAGGAAAAGAGAAAUGCAGGCGCAUCUCCGUGUGAGCGCAUCUUCGAGGGUGUGUCUGUGUAUGUGCGUUGGCACGUGGUGGUCUGUGUGCCUUCUUGUUUCUCGUUACUGCUAGAGCAGCAGCGGCUGCCCUUUCUGCUUGUUGCGCGUAUUGCUGUCGUUUCUUCACUUUCUGAUGCCUUCUCACCCCUCACCUCUCCUCAACACCGCCUGCUCUUCGCUUUCCCCAUGGAUUACGCCUCUGCUGCCUUCUCGUGUAUGUGUGUGCGUGUAUCUCUGUUUCUCUGGUUAUUUCGCCACACUAGGGCACUGGGUGGAUGCUUUGGGUAUUAGUGUUACACUCUUGAUUAUCUCUUCCCGAUUGCAUGCGUUUGUGUUUUCACUUCCUGUGCUGCUGCUGCUCCCUCGGAAGGGCGAGUGCAGGGGAUGGGGUGAGGUGUGGCGGAGCCGUGCUGGUGCGCUUCGCCUUUGUGCACGUAUAUCUUGGUCUUUCUUCUUUUCCUUGUUUUCUUCCAUGGAUUUCGUGGUAAUUUCCAUUGUCGCUGCUCCUCGCUCUCUCUUGCUUUCACUCUACAUGUCUGUGUAGGUGUACGCGUGCGUUGGCGUUCUUUUCUUCGUUUUUUUUUUGUUAGCGUGUGUGUGCGUGUGUGCGGCUCGCUGCCUUGAGGGCUCGCUUCGCUGUCUGUCUGUGUCCGCGUCUUGCCUCACGCUGCCCUCUUCAGCGGCCAACGUCUUCUCCUUUGAUUUGGCUGCAUAGUUCGCUCGUAUCCGGGACGUCACGCAUGACGCUCAUCUGUGCGUCUUUCCUUCAUCGACUACUCUUUCAGACUUGCUCUUGUCUCUCUUUUGUGUGUGUGUGUGUCGUGGAUAAUGACGAUAACGGGUUUGGGCGUGUCUUUCCCGAUGCAUGGCAGCGCCACGUCCUGCGUGCACGCGGGUGCAUCGUUUACUUUAUUCUUAUCAUGUGUCACGGGCGACGGAGGUGACGCUGGGCCUAUCUUUCUCUCUUUCUCUCAGGCUGUCAAUC
rnacentral:misc_RNA from 1 species